CGGGGAGGUAGUGACGAAAAAUAACGAUACGGGACUCAUCCGAGGCCCCGUAAUCGGAAUGAGUACACUUUAAAUCCUUUAACAAGGACCAAUUGGAGGGCAAGUCUGGUGCCAGCAGCCGCGGUAAUUCCAGCUCCAAUAGCGUAUAUUAAAGUUGUUGCGGUUAAAAAGCUCGUAGUUGAAUCUGUGUGUCACAGUGUCGGUUCACCGCUCGCGGUGCUUAACUGGCAUUAUGUGGUACGUCCUACCGGUGGUCUUAGCUCCUUGCGGGGCGGUCCAACUAAUCUCCCAUCGCGGUGCUCUUCACUGAGUGUCGAGGUGGGCCGGUACGUUUACUUUGAACAAAUUAGAGUGCUCAAAGCAGGCUACCUUCGCCUGAAUAUUGCGUGCAUGGAAUAAUGGAAUAGGACCUCGGUUCUAUUUUGUUGGUUUUCGGAACCCCGAGGUAAUGAUUAAUAGGGACAGAUGGGGGCAUUCGUAUUGCGACGUUAGAGGUGAAAUUCUUGGAUCGUCGCAAGACGGACUAAAGCGAAAGCAUUUGCCAAAAAUGUUUUCAUUAAUCAAGAACGAAAGUUAGAGGUUCGAAGGCGAUCAGAUACCGCCCUAGUUCUAACCAUAAACGAUGCCAGCUGGCGAUCCGCCGAAGUUCCUCCGAUGACUCGGCGGGCAGCUUCCGGGAAACCAAAGCUUUUGGGUUCCGGGGGAAGUAUGGUUGCAAAGCUGAAACUUAAAGGAAUUGACGGAAGGGCACCACCAGGAGUGGAGCCUGCGGCUUAAUUUGACUC
rnacentral:rRNA from 1 species